rnacentral:rRNA from 1 species
GACGAACGCUGGCGGCGUGCUUAACACAUGCAAGUCGAACGGAAAGGCCCUGCUUUUGUGGGGCGCUCGAGUGGCGAACGGGUGAGUAACACGAGAGUAACCUGCCCUUGACUUUGGGAUAACUUCAGGAAACUGGGGCUAAUACCGGAUAGGAGCUCCUGCUGCAUGGUGGGGGUUGGAAAGUUUCGGCGGUUGGGGAUGGACUCGCGGCUUAUCAGCUUGUUGGUGGGGUAGUGGCUUACCAAGGCUUUGACGGGUAGCCGGCCUGAGAGGGUGACCGGCCACAUUGGGACUGAGAUACGGCCCAGACUCCUACGGGAGGCAGCAGUGGGGAAUAUUGCACAAUGGGCGGAAGCCUGAUGCAGCAACGCCGCGUGCGGGAUGACGGCCUUCGGGUUGUAAACCGCUUUCGCCUGUGACGAAGCGUGAGUGACGGUAAUGGGUAAAGAAGCACCGGCUAACUACGUG